AUUGAACGCUGGCGGCAGGCCUAACACAUGCAAGUCGAACGAGUGGCGGACGGGUGAGUAAUGUCUGGGAAACUGCCUGAUGGAGGGGGAUAACUACUGGAAACGGUAGCUAAUACCGCAUACCAUCAGAUGUGCCCAGAUGGGUUUAGCUAGUUGGUGGGGUAAAGGCUCACCCAGGCGACGAUCCCUAGCUGGUCUGAGAGGAUUACCAGCCACACUGGAACGGAGACACGGUCCAGACUCCUACGAGAGGCAGCAGUGGGGAAUAUUGGACAAUGGGCGCAAGCCUGAUCCAGCCAUGCCGCGUGUGUGAAGAAGGUCUUCGGAUUGUAAAGCACGUUAAUGUGGGAGGCGUUACCAACAGAAUAAGCACCGGCUAACUUCGUGCCAGCCGCCGCGGUAAUAC
rnacentral:rRNA from 1 species